rnacentral:lncRNA from 1 species
GAAAGGAAACGCUCGAAGUAAACCUGAAAAGAGGAAAGGAAAAGACAAGGUCUCGCAACCAAAUCUUGGGUUCGGGAGUCGAUUAUGCGAAGGGAAGGUAUUAGCACCCCUACGCAUCCGUAGUACUCUACGGGAUCCACUUUUGUAGUUCUUGUCUAAAGGGUGUGAGUUUAUCUUGUGUUGUUUACUAAAAAAAGGGGUUAAAUG